rnacentral:tRNA from 1 species
UAAAGCCCCUCGCUUACACCGAGNANAUGCCAUGUUCAACCCAGACUAUUUUGA